UGAACGCUGGCGGCGUGCCUAAUACAUGCAAGUCGAGCGAACGGACGAGAAGCUUGCUUUUCUGAUGUUAGCGGCGGACGGGUGAGUAACACGUGGAUAACCUACCUAUAAGACUGGGAUAACUUCGGGAAACCGGAGCUAAUACCGGAUAAUAUUUUGAACCGCAUGGUUCAAAAGUGAAAGACGGUCUUGCUGUCACUUAUAGAUGGAUCCGCGCUGCAUUAGCUAGUUGGUAAGGUAACGGCUUACCAAGGUAACGAUGCAUAGCCGACCUGAGAGGGUGAUCGGCCACACUGGAACUGAGACACGGUCCAGACUCCUACGGGAGGCAGCAGUAGGGAAUCUUCCGCAAUGGGCGAAAGCCUGACGGAGCAACGCCGCGUGAGUGAUGAAGGUCUUCGGAUCGUAAAACUCUGUUAUUAGGGAAGAACAUAUGUGUAAGUAACUGUGCACAUCUUGACGGUACCUAAUCAGAAAGCCACGGCUAACUACGUG
rnacentral:rRNA from 1 species